ensembl:snRNA U6 U6 spliceosomal RNA
UUGCUUUGGCAGCUUAUGUACUAUAAUGGGAUUAGUACAGAGAAAAUUAGAAUGACAUCUGCUCAAAGAAAACAUAAAUUCAUGAAGUGCUCUGUAUUUUA